GACGAACGCUGGCGGCGUGCUUAACACAUGCAAGUCGAACGGAAAGGCCCUGCUUUUGUGGGGUGCUCGAGUGGCGAACGGGUGAGUAACACGUGAGUAACCUGCCCUUGACUUUGGGAUAACUUCAGGAAACUGGGGCUAAUACCGGAUAGGAGCUCCUGCUGCAUGGUGGGGGUUGGAAAGUUUCGGCGGUUGGGGAUGGACUGGCGGCUUAUCAGCUUGUUGGUGGGGUAGUGGCUUACCAAGGCCUUGACGGGUAGCCGGCCUGAGAGGGUGACCGGCCACAUUGGGACUGAGAUACGGCCCAGACUCCUACGGGAGGCAGCAGUGGGGAAUAUUGCACAAUGGGCGGAAGCCUGAUGCAGCAACGCCGCGUGCGGGAUGACGGCCUUCGGGUUGUAAACCGCUUUCGCCUGUGACGAAGCGUGAGUGACGGUAAUGGGUAAAGAAGCACCGGCUAACUACGUG
rnacentral:rRNA from 1 species